rnacentral:misc_RNA from 1 species
GUAAAGCAAGGUAUCUCUCUAAGGAAAAAAAGGAACUUCUAGAGGGUGUAAAGGUCUCUCUUUCGGCAACAACAGUUGCUGGCAUCACAACUCUCGAUUAUGACAUUUUGCACUUGAUUUGGACAACAGAAAAGCUUCAGCAACAACUUGAUGUGAUUGACCAGCGCUACGAUGUGUUGAAACAAUCCGCACUGGCUUCUUUGAAGUCUGGAAACAAAA